CGAACGGGUGAGGAACACGUGAAGAAUCUGCCUUCAACUCUGGGAUAACUCCGGGAAACCGGGGCUAAUACCGGAUAUGAGCCUUGAUCGCAUGAUCGGGGCUGGAAAGUUUUUCGGUUGAAGAUGACUUCGCGGCCUAUCAGCUUGUUGGUGAGGUAAUGGCUCACCAAGGCGACGACGGGUAGCCGGCCUGAGAGGGCGACCGGCCACACUGGGACUGAGACACGGCCCAGACUCC
rnacentral:rRNA from 1 species